UAUCUCUCUCUUCCUUUUUCUUUUACUACCCUUAUCCAUGGCUUCCAUUUACCACUUGGCCAUUCUUCUUUUUUGCUUUGUUCAACCUUUGGUUGCUGUUUUAGUUCAAGAACAGCCUCUGGUUCUCAAGUACCAUAACGGUGUUCUCUUGAAGGGAAACGUCACCGUUAAUCUAAUCUGGUACGGCAAAUUCACCCCUAUUCAACGCUCUAUAAUCGUUGAUUUUGUUACUUCUUUGAGCUCCAACAGAGCACCACUUCCCUCCGCCGCUUCCUGGUGGAAGACCACAGAGAAGUACCGUGGCGGUUCUUGCUCUCUAGAAGUUGGCCGUCAAAUCCUCCACGAGGAGUACACUCUUGGAAAACUCCUCAAGACUAGGCAUUUACUUGCUUUGGCCUCCAAAUCGAACUUCGCAAUCGACUCUAUCAAUGUCGUUUUGACAGCUCAAGACGUCGUCGUUGAUGGAUUUUGCAUGAGCAGGUGCGGGACACACGGGUCGUCUCGCGGAUCGGUUCGGGGCACAUACAUAUGGGUCGGCAACUCGGAGACUCAGUGUCCAGGCCAAUGCGCCUGGCC
rnacentral:misc_RNA from 1 species